UACGUAGGGGGCAAGCGUUGUCCGGAAUCAUUGGGCGUAAAGAGCGUGUAGGCGGCUCGGUAAGUCCGCUGUGAAAGUCCAGGGCUCAACCCUGGAAAGCCGGUGGAAACUGUCGAUCUAGAGUCCGGAAGAGGCGAGUGGAAUUCCUGGUGUAGCGGUGAAAUGCGCAGAUAUCAGGAGGAACACCAAUGGCGAAGGCAGCUCGCUGGGACGGUACUGACGCUGAGACGCGAAAGCGUGGGGAGCAAACAGG
rnacentral:rRNA from 1 species